GUCUGUGUAGUGUAGUGGUUUAUCACGUUUGUCUUACAUCCAGCAUGCAUCACAAAAGGCCCCAGGUUCGAGCCCUGGCAUAGACA
rfam:Verticillium longisporum isolate VL1 genome assembly, contig: scaffold_8